UUUGUUUCUGUGGAACCAGGUUCUGUUCGGUUCACUCUGAAGGUAGAAUGCUCAGACAACCGCCCACCCUUAGAGGUAGUGGGGCUGGAAAAGGGGAAACUGUGACUUCCUCAUCCCCAAAGAGGCAGAGGAACUGGGAGCCAUCAUACCUUCAAGAGGGCAUGGUCCCCGGCUGGGCCAUUCUGGAGGCUCUCAGGAAGCUGGGACUUAUGAAGAUGGCUUUCUGCCCACCUCUCACCCAAACCUGAGCCGUGCUAACCUGCCGUCCCCGAAAAGCCUUCAAGGCCAAGGUCAAAGUACUUCCAACUCUAGAGGAGUUUGCUUCUAACCUCUAACCGCAACACCCAAGUCUGAGUCAGGGGAUAGUUGGUGCUUUCUGUCAUGGGCAUCCUGGGUGCAGUCCCUGCGUCCUCCUCCUUGUUCCCACAGGUCAUAGCACAGGGAAGAUGCUAAAUAUGUGGCAUUCUUUGGGUCCGAAUCACCGCAGCUGGACAAGAGAACAGGUCCUGCUACAGAAUUUAUGGUCCUGAAUUCCGACUUAGGAGUUGAGGACUCCACACCUGAGCCCAGGGGCUCUGCUGCGGUCCUAGUCCGGGAGGCGGAAAGAGGAGUGGCAGAAGAUUCAGGUUUCCUCCUGUGCUGGUUAGCUGGAAUUGCCCACUUGUCACCUCACAACUCUCAUCAACUAGAAUCACCUCAAGAAAGAGUCUCUACAAGGAACGGCCUACAUGGGACUGGCUGUGAGCAUGUGUAUUGUCUGAAUUAAGUUCAUUGAUAUGGAAAGACCCUGCCUAGCAUAGGCAGCACCAUUCCCUAGGCAAGGAUGCCUGAGCUGUUCAAGAGUAGAGAAAAGGAGAGCAAGCAAGCAAGCAUGCGCGCAAGUAUGCAUGCACUUUCUCUCUGCUCUUGACUGUAAACACGGCGUGUACAGUUGUCUCUAGCUCCUGCAGCUGUGACUCCCUACAGUGAUGGACCUGGACUUGUCACCUAAA